AUUGAACGCUGGCGGCAGGCCUAACACAUGCAAGUCGAGCGGAUGAAGGGAGCUUGCUCCUGGAUUCAGCGGCGGACGGGUGAGUAAUGCCUAGGAAUCUGCCUGGUAGUGGGGGAUAACGUCCGGAAACGGGCGCUAAUACCGCAUACGUCCUGAGGGCGAAAGUGGGGGAUCUUCGGACCUCACGCUAUCAGAUGAGCCUAGGUCGGAUUAGCUAGUUGGUGGGGUAAAGGCCUACCAAGGCGACGAUCCGUAGCUGGUCUGAGAGGAUGAUCAGUCACACGGGAGCGGAGACACGGGCUGGAGUAGGACGGGAGGCAGCAGUGGGGAAUAUUGGAAAAGGGGCGAAAGUGUGAAACAGCCAGAGCGGGUGGGGGAAGAAGGACUUAGGGUGGUAAAGCUGUUUUGUUGGGAAAGAAAAGCAGCAGGGUAAGAACCUGCGGUCCGGACGGUACCCAAAGAAGAAGCACCGGCGAACUUGGUG
rnacentral:rRNA from 1 species